UACGUAGGGACCGAGCGUUGUCCGGAUUCAUUGGGCGUAAAGAGCUCGUAGGCGGCUGUUCAAGUCGAACGUGAAAACUCGGAGCUCAACUCCGAGCCUGCGUUCGAUACUGGACGGCUAGAGUCUGGUAGGGGGAUCUGGAAUUCCUGGUGUAGCGGUGAAAUGCGCAGAUAUCAGGAAGAACACCCGUGGCGAAGGCGGGUCUCUGGGCCAUUACUGACGCUGAGGAGCGAAAGCGUGGGGAGCGAACAGG
rnacentral:rRNA from 1 species